rnacentral:rRNA from 1 species
UCUUCCGCAAUGGACGAAAGUCUGACGGAGCAACGCUGCGUGAGUGAUGAAGGCUNUCNNGUCGUNANACUCUGUUGUUAGGGNNNNNCAAGUGCUAGUUGAAUAAGCUGGCACCUUGACGGUACCUAACCAGAAGGCCACGGCUAACUACGUGCCAGCAGCCGCGGUAAUACGUAGGUGGCAAGCGUUAUCCGGAAUUAUUGGGCGUAAAGCGCGCGCAGGUGGUUUCUUAAGUCUGAUGUGAAAGCCCACGGCUCAACCGUGGAGGGUCAUUGGAAACUGGGAGACUUGAGUGCAGAAGAGGAAAGUGGAAUUCCAUGUGUAGCGGCGAAAUGCGUAGAGAUAUGGAGGAACACCAGUGGCGAAGGCGACUUUCUGGUCUGUAACUGACACUGAGGCGCGAAAGCGUGGGGAGCAAACAGG